CAAUGUCUCCAAGGAAUGGAAAAAUGGAAACCCAAACCCAAAGAAGUCACUUUGGUUGUUGACAGAGAAGAUACAAGAUCACCAAACAGCCUCAUAGAGCCAAGGAGGAAGAGGAGCAAACUACAGAAAUUCCCCCUGAGAUCACCCAAGCUGGACAUCAGCCCUCAAGUGGUGAAGACGUCCAUACUUUCAAGGUUCCGCGCAGAUGUGUUGAGCUCUCGGACCUGGGCAAGGGCCUCUCUGGCUCUCUGGCCCUUUCAGUCUCGCUCUGAUGAAGGCACGAGGCAGACAAAUGCCUAGGCAGAUAGGGAAGGGUCCCGGGUGAGACCCCACCUUCAAGCUUAAAGCAGCCUGAAAGCUGAAAGACCGAAGUACUGGUUCCAGAUGAAACCUGCAACCCAGAGGGAAAACUUCUGCCCCUGUUUGCCCUCCCUUUCCCAAUUGAUUCUUUCUGAAUCAUGCCUUUUAACCAAUCAAAUGUUGCCUUUUCCAAUACAAUCUAUGGCUUGUGCACUGGGCGUGCCUGCCUGUGCACUGGGGGAAUGGGGUGGAGCCACCAGGAAUUCAUCCUUAUGCAAGGAAGGAGUGGCCUAAAGUCUUUAGGGCGUGUGUGGUAGCCCUGAUAUUUAGUUAGGGAGGUGAAAACCUGUUGGCAGGACAUCCCCUCUUUUGCCGAGAGCUUUUUUCAUUUAAUAAAUUCCAUCCUUCUCACCA